rnacentral:rRNA from 1 species
UGGUCAAGUUAUUAAGGGUGCAGGGCGGAUGCCUUGGCACUAGGAGCCGAUGAAGGACGUGAUAAGCUGCGAUAAGCUUCGGGGAGUUGCACGUAAACUUUGAUCCGAAGAUUUCCGAAUGAGGAAACUCACUUAGAGUAAUGUCUAAGUAUCAUUAAGUGAAUACAUAGCUUAAUGAGGGGAACUCAGGGAACUGAAACAUCUAAGUACCUGAAGGAAGAGAAAGAAAUUCGAUUCCGUAAGUAGCGGCGAGCGAACGCGGAAGAGCCCAAACCAAUAAAGUUUUCUUUAUUGGGGUUGCGGACAUAUCAUAACGAAGAGGUAUCGUAAUUGAAGAGGUUUGGAAAGACCCACCACAGAAGGUAAUAGUCCUGUAUGUUAAACGAGAAGACUUCAGAUAUGAUCCAGAGUACCACGGGACACGUGAAACCCUGUGGGAAGCAGGAGGGACCACCCUCCAAGGCUAAAUACUACCUAGUGACCGAUAGCGUAUAGUACCGUGAGGGAAAGGUGAAAAGAACCCCGGGAGGGGAGUGAAAUAGAACCUGAAACCCUGCACUUACAAGCUGUGGAAGCACAUUUCUUGUGUGACCGCGUACUU